GGGAGUGUGGCUCAGUGGUAGAGCACAUGCCUAGCAUGUAUGAGGCACUGGGUUCAAUCCUCAGCACCA
rnacentral:tRNA from 1 species